AAAGACCCUAUGAAGCUUUACUGUAACUUGAAAUUGAAAUUGGACUUUACUUGCGCAGUAUAGGUGGGAGGCGUUGAGUUUAUUCUUGCGGGAAUUUAGGAGCCAUCAGUGAGAUACCACUCUGGUAAUGUUAGAUUUCUAACUUUGUAUCAUAAUCUGGUCAAAGGACAGUUUCAGGCGGGCAGUUUGACUGGGGCGGUCGCCUCCUAAAUGGUAACGGAGGCGUACAAAGGUUUCCUCUGAACGUGUAGAAAUCGUAUCUAGAGUAUAAAGGCAUAAGGAAGCUUGACUGUGAGACUUACAAGUCGAGCAGGGACGAAAGUCGGUCUUAGUGAUCUGACGGUGCUGAGUGGAAAGGCCGUCACUCAACGGAUAAAAGUUACUCUAGGGAUAACAGGCUGA
rnacentral:rRNA from 1 species